UGGUGUAGCUCAAUUGGUAGAGCAACUGAUUUGUAAUCAGUAGGUUAUGAGUUCAAGUCUCUUCACU
rnacentral:tRNA from 1 species